AACAUACCAAAAUGGACACCCCAAUUCCAAGGGGAAGGAAUUCUGGCUUCAUUUUUUCCAGUGUUUUGGGACACGCUUUGUUAUCCUUCCUGGAUGUUCUGUUUUAGGAGUUGAUGUGAGUCCACACAUUCAGAACACAGUCUUGCGUGUAAGGAAAUUUGCUUGAAAAUGUAAAGAGGUCAUGCUGCCUUCCUGGCUGCUGCCCAAGUGUUCUCAAAGUACUGGGUGGGCCAAUUUCCUGGGACUGACUUGAGAUGAGGAAUCCCAAGGCAUCUUUAAUCAGAGAGACUGACCAAGAUCGAUAAGAGAAUUUCAUUGGACACAGCAGUCCAUCAAGUCAUUUCCAAAGCCGAACUCUGAUGACCCACUGCCCAGAAAGCACAUUUCUCAACCGAUGGUUUAAUCAUGCUUUCCCACUCAACAGUAUGGACUCAAGUCACUGGAUUGAGAAUCACGGAGCACUGAACUAAGGAUUUGGCACAGUACAACAGAAGCAUAAAACCUGGACUGUCUUUUAUUAUGUUUUUUUUACAUUGGGCAUUAGCCAGUGGGUUUCUUUACAAUGUUAUUUUGCUCUGAGUAUUAA